CAGAAAUCUCAGAUUUUUGAUCAGUGUUGCAGGGAUUCCUCCAAAAGGGACGGGGUGGCAAAAGUGAUUGCAUCCAGUCUUCUCCUCUCUGUGUUUCCAUGCAACCUAUUGCACGGAGACAAUAUGUAUGCUACAAGGAGGGGAGAGGAUGAGCAACAGGCAGAAAUCAAGGCAAAACAGCAAAUGGACCAUAAAUGGAGCUGCUUUAAUACACCAACAGCCAGGAGAGAAGGACUGAACCAGAAACCAUUGUAAGAAUAAUUACAGUAUUAAAAACAAUAACAAGAAAUCAUCAUAUAUUAUGGCUUUGCAAUUAAAUCUUAUCCUUUAUCUGA